rnacentral:rRNA from 1 species
GACGAACGCUGGCGGCGUGCCUAAUACAUGCCAGUCGAGCGCUGAAGCCCUGUAUUUGUGCCAACUGGAUGAGCAGCGAACGGGUGAGUAACGCGUGGGAAAUCUGCCUUUGAGCGGGGGACAACAUUUGGAAACGAAUGCUAAUACCGCAUAAGAACUUUAAACACAAGGUUUAAGUGUGAAAGAUGCAAUUGCAUCACUCAAAGACGAUCCCGCGUUGUAUUAGCUAGUUGGUGAGGUAAAGGCUCACCAAGGCGGUGAUAGAUAGCCGAACUGAGAGGGUGGUCGGCCACCGUGGGAGGGAGACACGGCCCAAAGGCCUACGGGAAGGAGCAGUAGGGAAACUUCGGCAAUGGACGAGAGUCUUGCCGAACAGGGCCGCGUCAGUGAAGAAGGGUGUCGGAUCGUGAAACUCGGUUUGUGGGGAAGAACGCUGGUGAGAGUGGAAAGCUCAUCAAGUGACGGUAACUACUCAGAAAGCAACGGCUAACUACGUG